rnacentral:rRNA from 1 species
AUGAACGCUAGCUACAGGCUUAACACAUGCAAGUCGAGGGGCAGCAUGGUCUUAGCUUGCUAAGGCCGAUGGCGACCGGCGCACGGGUGAGUAACACGUAUCCAACCUGCCGUCUACUCUUGGACAGCCUUCUGAAAGGAAGAUUAAUACAAGAUGGCAUCAUGAGUCCGCAUGUUCACAUGAUUAAAGGUAUUCCGGUAGACGAUGGGGAUGCGUUCCAUUAGAUAGUAGGCGGGGUAACGGCCCACCUAGUCUUCGAUGGAUAGGGGUUCUGAGAGGAAGGUCCCCCACAUUGGAACUGAGACACGGUCCAAACUCCUACGGGAGGCAGCAGUGAGGAAUAUUGGUCAAUGGGCGAGAGCCUGAACCAGCCAAGUAGCGUGAAGGAUGACUGCCCUAUGGGUUGUAAACUUCUUUUAUAAAGGAAUAAAGUCGGGUAUGGAUACCCGUUUGCAUGUACUUUAUGAAUAAGGAUCGGCUAACUCCGUGCCAGCAGCCGCGGUAAUACGGAGGAUCCGAGCGUUAUCCGGAUUUAUUGGGUUUAAAGGGAGCGUAGAUGGAUGUUUAAGUCAGUUGUGAAAGUUUGCGGCUCAACCGUAAAAUUGCAGUUGAUACUGGAUAUCUUGAGUGCAGUUGAGGCAGGCGGAAUUCGUGGUGUAGCGGUGAAAUGCUUAGAUAUCACGAAGAACUCCGAUUGCGAAGGCAGCCUGCUAAGCUGCAACUGACAUUGAGGCUCGAAAGUGUGGGUAUCAAACAGGAUUAGAUACCCUGGUAGUCCACACGGUAAACGAUGAAUACUCGCUGUUGGCGAUAUACGGUCAGCGGCCAAGCGAAAGCAUUAAGUAUUCCACCUGGGGAGUACGCCGGCAACGGUGAAACUCAAAGGAAUUGACGGGGGCCCGCACAAGCGGAGGAACAUGUGGUUUAAUUCGAUGAUACGCGAGGAACCUUACCCGGGCUUAAAUUGCAGAUGAAUUACGGUGAAAGCCGUAAGCCGCAAGGCAUCUGUGAAGGUGCUGCAUGGUUGUCGUCAGCUCGUGCCGUGAGGUGUCGGCUUAAGUGCCAUAACGAGCGCAACCCUUGUUGUCAGUUACUAACAGGUUCCGCUGAGGACUCUGACAAGACUGCCAUCGUAAGAUGUGAGGAAGGUGGGGAUGACGUCAAAUCAGCACGGCCCUUACGUCCGGGGCUACACACGUGUUACAAUGGGGGGUACAGAGGGCCGCUACCACGCGAGUGGAUGCCAAUCCCCAAAACCUCUCUCAGUUCGGACUGGAGUCUGCAACCCGACUCCACGAAGCUGGAUUCGCUAGUAAUCGCGCAUCAGCCACGGCGCGGUGAAUACGUUCCCGGGCCUUGUACACACCGCCCGUCAAGCCAUGGGAGCCGGGGGUACCUGAAGUGCGUAACCGCGAGGAGCGCCCUAGGGUAAAACUGGUGACUGGGGCU